AGUCGAUGGACCAAUGUAGGUAAGGGAAGUCGGCAAAACGGAUCCGUAACCUUGGGAUAAGGAUUGGCUCUGAGGACUGAGCCGGUCGGGCUGGGGACCUGAAGCAGGAACGGCACUGCACCGGGACUGGGCGGGGCUCGCCGUUGACGCGGCGCGGCCAAGCCCGGACCAGCGUCGGGACCUUGCUGUGGAAAGCCUCAGCUGCGCGGCGUCUGAGGGCUUCGUGCCCAAAGUGCUAUGCUUCGGCCGGCAAAAAACAGUCAACUCAGAACUGGCACGGACCGGGGGAAUCCGACUGUCUAAUUAAAACAAAGCAUUGCGAUGGCCGCUGGUCGGUGUUGACGCAAUGUGAUUUCUGCCCAGUGCUCUGAAUGUCAACGUGAAGAGAUUCAUCAAAGCGCGGGUAAACGGCGGGAGUAACUAUGACUCUCUUGUGUGGCAUCCUGGAUUGCGGAGAAGAUGAGAAAUGAUGGCUGCACGGUGUCCGAGGAGCCCAGAAUUAAAGUAAAAGACGAAAUCAGGUACCCAGAUUUAAUUUGUGUAAAGGGUGAGAGGGCAUGGAUUCUAGAUGUUCAAAUAGUCGGGGAAUACAAAAGCCUUAACUCACUUAAUGAGGACAAGAUUACUAAGUAUUCUGCUCUGGACUUUGUGGACACAGUAAGGUCCAAGUUCUCGGUAACCACUGUCGCCGUGCACGCCAUAACAGCCAAUGAGAGAGGGCUCGUUUGCCCAAGAUCAGCUGAGGCUUUGGGCUUGCUGGGCUUCUCAAAGCGUGACAUUUCCUCUUUAAUCCUCAAGGUAGUUCGUGGCUCCUUGCGAUGUUUCUACCACUUCAUGCGGGGAACAAACCGAAGUGUGUAAACUGUUUAUUGUUCUCCCCCAUGUGUUCUUUCUUUUGUUGUUGUUUUGGAGGGGCGUAGGUGUGUGGAAUCUCGCCUGCCAUAUUUGUUUUUUUUAUGUAACCAAUGUGUAUGUAUCUUUUUCUUUCGUUCUGUGUUUUGUGUUCUUUUUAUUCUCUUGAGAAUGUGGUUGUCAUCUCUGUAAUGGCCUCCUUAGAGUCAACUAGGCAUGU
rnacentral:ncRNA from 1 species